rnacentral:misc_RNA from 1 species
CAGACGGUCACGUGAAAGCGGUUCAUUCGAUAAAACCCAUGAAGCUGCGGCUGUGGGGCUCAUUCGCAGCAGGGGACGUUCCCAGGGCUGUUUCUGGGUCAGGUAGCUUUUCGCAAGCGAUCCACUGUCCUCUGCGUUUGUCACCACUUCCAGGAUCUCCGGCGAGGCACCAGCAGAGAAAGUGUCCAAAAACACAAAGGGAAAGUCUCGUUCCUCGGGGGCGGG